GAUGAACGCUAGCGGCAGGCUUAAUACAUGCAAGUCGAGGGGCAUCAAGGUACACGAAAGUGUAUUGUUGGCGACCGGCGGACGGGUGAGUAAUAGGUAGGUAACCUACCUCAUACUGAGGCAUAGCUGGGAGAAAUUCCAGGUAAUUCCUCAUGAGGUUAUAUGACACAUGUGAUAUAAUCAAAGGUAUCGCAAGGUACUGGUAUGAGAUGGGCUUACUGACCAUUAGCUAGUUGGUGAGAUAAGAGCUCACCAAGGCGAAGAUGGUUAGGGGUUUUGAGAGAGAGAUCCCCCACAUUGGAACUGAGAUACGGUCCAGACUCCUACGGGAGGCAGCAGUAGGGAAUAUUGGGCAAUGGGCGGAAGCCUGACCCAGCCAUGCCGCGUGAAGGAAGACGGCCUUAUGGUUGUAAACUUCUUUACUAUGCGACUAACUAGAUUUACGAGAUAAUUCUAUAGAAUGUAGCAUAGACAAAAAGCACCGGA
rnacentral:rRNA from 1 species